GAAAUGCGAUAAGUAAUGUGAAUUGCAGAAUUCAGUGAAUCAUCGAAUCUUUGAACGCACAUUGCGCCCACCAGUAUUCUGGCGGGCAUGCCUGUUCGAGCGUCAUUUCAACCAUCAAGCCCCGGGCUUGUGUUGGGGACCUGCGGCUGCCGCAGGCCCUGAAAACCAGUGGCGGGCUCGCUGUCACACCGAGCGUAGUAGAUUCUCAUCUCGCUCAGGGCGUGCUGCGGGUUCCGGCCGUAAAACAGCCUUAUUUUACCCAAGGUUGACCUCGGAUCAGGUAGGAAGACCCGCUGAACUUAAGC
rnacentral:misc_RNA from 1 species